rnacentral:rRNA from 1 species
CCUACGGGUGGCAGCAGUGAGGAAUAUUGGUCAAUGGGCGCGAGUCUGAACCAGCCAAGUAGCGUGAAGGAUGACUGCCCUAUGGGUUGUAAACUUCUUUUAUACAGGAAUAAACUUUGCCACGUGUGUUCUUUUGUAUGUACUUUAUGAAUAAGGAUCGGCUAACUCCGUGCCAGCAGCCGCGGUAAUACGGAGGAUCCGAGCGUUAUCCGGAUUUAUUGGGUUUAAAGGGAGCGUAGGUGGAUUGUUAAGUCAGUUGUGAAAGUUUGCGGCUCAACCGGAAAAUUGCAAUUGAUACUGGCAGUCUAGAGAACAGUUGCGGUAGGCGGAAGUCGUGGUGUAGCGGUGAAAUGCUUAGAUAUCACGCAGAACUCCGAUUGCGAAGGCAGCUUACUAAACUGCAACUGACAUUGAUGCUCGAAAGUGUGGGUAUCAAACAGGAUUAGAUACCCGUGUAGUC